rnacentral:lncRNA from 1 species
AUUUAUUCGUUCUCAAACUAAAGAUAAGAAAAAUACCUGAAUCAGUGAAAAGCUGGGGGUAGCUACUAUGCAUGUUAGACUCGAUCUACCAAAUAGCCUCCUCUACAAAAUCAAAAAAGGUUCUAAGAUUGCCUCUCUUCCCAAACCUUAUCACGCCCUUCAUGGGUGACACACGAAGGAAGACCAUAUCACCAAUACAAAAUUUAAGGCACGAAACCCAUGG